rnacentral:rRNA from 1 species
AUGAGAGUUCAAGAGUACGUGAAACUGUGUGGUGGUAAACGGAGGGGUUCUCGAAGUUUCUGUGGGGAACUCAGCCUUGGUGUCGCGUGGCCCUGUAGUGUCCGAUCAGCAAUGACGGUGCUGCUUGGCCGACGUGUCUCUCGGGUGCAUUUCCCCCGCAGUUUACGGCAGGAACUGUUUGGAGCGCACCGAAGGCCCUGGGUGAAGUUGUCGGUUCUGCUGGCAGCCCCGGGUGUCCUGGCUUCGCACCAGACAGGUACGUGAGGGGACUCGUAUAGCGAGCAAUGCUCUGUUGCGGUUCCCAUCUCUCUGCCGAGUAGGUCGGUGGCCCCUCCGACCCGUCUUGAAACACGGACCAU